AUUUUGAACCGCAUGGUUCAAAAGUGAAAGACGGUCUUGCUGUCACUUAUAGAUGGAUCCGCGCUGCAUUAGCUAGUUGGUAAGGUAACGGCUUACCAAGGCAACGAUGCAUAGCCGACCUGAGAGGGUGAUCGGCCACACUGGAACUGAGACACGGUCCAGACUCCUACGGGAGGCAGCAGUAGGGAAUCUUCCGCAAUGGGCGAAAGCCUGACGGAGCAACGCCGCGUGAGUGAUGAAGGUCUUCGGAUCGUAAAACUCUGUUAUUAGGGAAGAACAUAUGUGUAAGUAACUGUGCACAUCUUGACGGUACCUAAUCAGAAAGCCACGGCUAACUACGUGCCAGCAGCCGCGGUAAUACGUAGGUGGCAAGCGUUAUCCGGAAUUAUUGGGCGUAAAGCGCGCGUAGGCGGUUUUUUAAGUCUGAUGUGAAAGCCCACGGCUCAACCGUGGAGGGUCAUUGGAAACUGGAAAACUUGAGUGCAGAAGAGGAAAGUGGAAUUCCAUGUGUAGCGGUGAAAUGCGCAGAGAUAUGGAGGAACACCAGUGGCGAAGGCGACUUUCUGGUCUGUAACUGACGCUGAUGUGCGAAAGCGUGGGGAUCAAACAGGAUUAGAUACCCUGGUAGUCCACGCCGUAAACGAUGAGUGCUAAGUGUUAGGGGGUUUCCGCCCCUUAGUGCUGCAGCUAACGCAUUAAGCACUCCGCCUGGGGAGUACGACCGCAAGGUUGAAACUCAAAGGAAUUGACGGGGACCCGCACAAGCGGUGGAGCAUGUGGUUUAAUUCGAAGCAACGCGAAGAACCUUACCAAAUCUUGACAUCCUUUGACAACUCUAGAGAUAGAGCUUUCCCCUUCGGGGGACAAAGUGACAGGUGGUGCAUGGUUGUCGUCAGCUCGUGUCGUGAGAUGUUGGGUUAAGUCCCGCAACGAGCGCAACCCUUAAGCUUAGUUGCCAUCAUUAAGUUGGGCACUCUAAGUUGACUGCCGGUGACAAACCGGAGGAAGGUGGGGAUGACGUCAAAUCAUCAUGCCCCUUAUGAUUUGGGCUACACACGUGCUACAAUGGACAAUACAAAGGGCAGCGAAACCGCGAGGUCAAGCAAAUCCCAUAAAGUUGUUCUCAGUUCGGAUUGUAGUCUGCAACUCGACUACAUGAAGCUGGAAUCGCUAGUAAUCGUAGAUCAGCAUGCUACGGUGAAUACGUUCCCGGGUCUUGUACACACCGCCCGUCACACCACGAGAGUUUGUAACACCCGAAGCCGGUGGAGUAACCUUUUAGGAGCUAGCCGUCGAAGGUGGGACAAAUGAUUGGGGUGAAGUCGUAACAAGGUAGCCGUAUCGGAAGGUGCGGCUGGAUCACCUCCUUUCUAAGGA
rnacentral:rRNA from 1 species